rnacentral:rRNA from 1 species
AACGAACGCUGGCGGCAGGCCUAACACAUGCAAGUCGAGCGAGGUAGCAAUACCUAGCGGCGGACGGGUGAGUAACGCGUGGGAACGUACCCUUUGCUACGGAAUAGCCCCGGGAAACUGGGAGUAAUACCGUAUGUGCCCUUCGGGGGAAAGAUUUAUCGGCAAAGGAUCGGCCCGCGUUGGAUUAGGUAGUUGGUGGGGUAAUGGCCUACCAAGCCGACGAUCCAUAGCUGGUUUGAGAGGAUGAUCAGCCACACUGGGACUGAGACACGGCCCAGACUCCUACGGGAGGCAGCAGUGGGGAAUCUUAGACAAUGGGCGCAAGCCUGAUCUAGCCAUGCCGCGUGAGUGAUGAAGGCCUUAGGGUUGUAAAGCUCUUUCAGAUGGGAAGAUAAUGACGGUACCAUCAGAAGAAGCCCCGGCUAACUCCGUGCCAGCAGCCGCGGU